rnacentral:rRNA from 1 species
GAUCCUGGCUCAGAACGAACGCUGGCGGCAGGCCUAACACAUGCAAGUCGAGCGCGCCCUUCGGGGUGAGCGGCGGACGGGUUAGUAACGCGUGGGAACGUACCCUUUGGUAGGGAAUAGCCACUGGAAACGGUGAGUAAUACCCUAUGAGCCCUUCGGGGGAAAGAUUUAUCGCCAAAGGAUCGGCCCGCGUUAGAUUAGGUAGUUGGUGGGGUAAUGGCCUACCAAGCCUACGAUCUAUAGCUGGUUUUUAGAGGAUGAUCAGCAACACUGGGACUGAGACACGGCCCAGACUCCUACGGGAGGCAGCAGUGGGGAAUCUUGGACAAUGGGGGCAACCCUGAUCCCAGCCAUGCCGCGUGAGUGAAGAAGGCCUUAGGGUCGUAAAGCUCUUUCGCCUGUGAAGAUAAUGACGGUAGCAGGUAAAGAAACCCCGGCUAACUCCGUGCCAGCAGCAGC